AUGGAUCUUCUCCAACAUCUUCGCUUCCCGGUCAGAUUCCGGGAUUGGGUUGCGGCUCUGCUGUCCACCGCCACCUCGAGAGUGCUGAUCAAUGGGGUGUUGGGAGACCCACUGAAGCAUGGAUGUGGCCUUUGACAGGGUGACCCGCUGUCCCCCCUUUUUUUCGUCCUCGCCAUUGAUCCACUCCAUCAUCUCCUCAGCAAGGCCACUGCCCAAGGGCAUCUCCACCCUCUGUGUGGUACAACUCCAACUGUUCGAGCUUCGCUUUACACCGAUGGUGCUGCCAUCUUUGUCAAACCAAUAAAGGAGGAUGUACAAUUCCUGGCUGCCACUCUGGCUUCAUUUGGAGAUGUGACCGGUCUUGUCAACAACUGUGCUAAAAGUCUUGUUGCUCCUAUUCGAUGUGAUGGUAUAAAUCUGGACAACGUUCUUCAUGCUUUUCCGGCGGUCCGUUCAUCGUUUCCGAUGCGUUAUCUCGGCCUUCCUCUGGCUGUUAAGCGUCUCAAGAGAAUCCACUUCCAGCAUCUUGAAGAUAAGAUCGUGGGCAAGCUACCCCCUUGGCAAGGAAGGCAUGUGGCUACUGCAGGCCAAACAAUUCUUGUCAAGGCGGUCCUAACGGUCAUCGCAAUAUAUCAUCUCACUCCUCUUGACAUCCCGGUUGAGGUCCUUCAGAAAAUUGAUAGCAUCUGCCGUGCAUAUCUUUGGGCGGGCACGAACAAGGUUUCUUGA
rnacentral:rRNA from 1 species